rnacentral:rRNA from 1 species
UACGUAGGGGGCGAGCGUUGUCCGGAUUUAUUGGGCGUAAAGAGCGUGUAGGCGGCCAGGUAGGUCUGCUGUGAAAACUCGAGGCUCAACCUCGAGACGUCGGCGGAAACCAUCUGGCUAGAGUCCGGAAGAGGAGAGUGGAAUUCCUGGUGUAGCGGUGAAAUGCGCAGAUAUCAGGAAGAACACCCGUGGCGAAGGCGGCUCUCUGGGACGGUACUGACGCUGACAGCGCGAAAGCUAGGGGAGCGAACGGG